rnacentral:rRNA from 1 species
CCUACGGGAGGCAGCAGUAGGGAAUCUUCCACAAUGGACGAAAGUCUGAUGGAGCAACGCCGCGUGAGUGAAGAAGGGUUUCGGCUCGUAAAGCUCUGUUGGUAGUGAAGAAAGAUAGAGGUAGUAACUGGCCUUUAUUUGACGGUAAUUACUUAGAAAGUCACGGCUAACUACGUGCCAGCAGCCGCGGUAAUACGUAGG